UCUAAUCUUUCCAUGGCCUUAUCACUUAUAUGAUUAGUGUGAGAACCUUAAAAAAAAACUCAUAUAAUGAUGCAAAAGCAACAAAGGAGAUCAUAGGUGGUAUUUUUCAAACUAAAUGACUAUGACCUAUUGUUUUGUUACAGGUUUUGCAUGUUCGAAAAUGGCAUUUAUCUGGCACGUGCAUUUUUGAAGACUAACUUAGGAAACUUUAUUACCCAGCAUUUGGAAGUGCGCUGUCUAUCAGACAGCGGUUAGCCUGGUGACGUGCCUGAUCACCUGCUUCAGGUCUGGUCCAUCUUACAGGACCUUUCAGAAGGCCACAGCGUGGGUGCGUUGCGGCGCAUGUUGGCAAGACGGGCAGAUGAGGUGGUUCUGCUGCUGGACCUGGAUCUUUGCACUGUACUCUGAGUUCCUCAUCAGCACAGCCCCGAUGGCACUAGGGGGUAUUGCGGUACCCAUCUGAGGGGAAAUCGGAGUUCUUUGCAGUUUAAGCCAUCUUGCUCCCUUUCACACAAAUCCUAAAGGUGUAAUAAUCCUGCUUAACGUGGUCCAACGGCUUUGUUUUUUCUGCCUCUCACAUGAAGGGUUAAAUUAUAACAUAUGACUGUCCUUUAGACUCUGUGACUACACAGAUGUUUAAUACACCCACGUAAAUUAAACUACCGAUUGCUUUCCUCACCUUUUUUUCCCUUCAAUCAUUAAUGAACAUUUUCUACAAGUAAGUUAAAACGCCCAAGCAGAUGACGAACUUUGGACAUAUUAGUUUGAAUCUGUCGUUCCAGGAGCUUUGCUCCUACACAGAUCUCGUAAAGACUGCAAGUGUACAAAAGGGUGCUUCCCAGUCUGGACCACAGGUUACAGGACAGUAGUAGAUCUAUUAUGUAGAAUAGUUCUGUGCUUUGAGGUUUUCCUCCAUAGCAGAUCAUGUACCUUCUGAUAAUAAAACAACAACAACAAAGAAAAGCCACCACUUGAAACUGGGGAAGUAAUUCCUUUGGGUUAUUCAGCUCACCAGCUGCAUUCAGUGCCUGACAAGUAUUCCUCCUAGGGGGCUGUAUGGAUGCACUCUAAACUUCUCUACGCCCUCAGGAGAUGCCACUGCUGGACCACCUGCAGAGCAGAUCAUCUAUCUGUACACCCAUACAGCUGCGGGUGACCUAGAAUUACACAUCCUGAGAUCAUGCUGGACCAAAAUAAGCUGCUCCUCGUGUGGCUACAGCACAAUUUCAAGUGGCCUUUCCACCUCAGCUGUCAUGGAGCCCAAGGAAUGACUGAAGUAAAUGGAGACCGUGCUGGCUGGGCAGCUGUCUUCAGUCACUUCUCGCUUAGUCAACCCAGUGCGUGUGUUUGUGAAAUGCCACACUCUCCCAGGGAAAUCUCUGCCAGUACCGCACCAGCCUUACUUCUCCCAGCAUGUAAUGCAAAAUCCUCUGAUGGAGCCAAGGCCCACUGACCUCUUGGUUACGGCUAGCAUAACAGUUUGUUCCUUUUUCUUUGCAGUGACUUGUUUUAUUUUCUGGAAGAAUGUUAUGUGUCAUUCUGCUCUGCCUUCUCUUUAGGUUAAACCCCACAUCGUUUCCUCCCAUGCCCAGUUUUCUAGAGCCCUGAUGGUUCCUAUUCUUCUUGUGUUGUGGGAUGUUUUUUGUUCCUGUUUCCCCACUUGGCUGCUCCUUCUGGUGUGAAGUACACAAACAGAACAAACACAGCCUACAGUGCUGUCUCAGGAAUGAGGCUGGAGUUCAUAUCAUACACCUGUCACUCCUUCUGGCAGUGUUUCCUUAUUUUCUUGAACGCUCUGAGGUAGAUUUAGGCACCUUAGAAGGCUGCUGAAGUUCAUGGACCUUUACAAAUAAUGCAUGGGGGAGUCAGUCUGGACUGCCAAUACCACAGAGGAGUUCUGCCAUGCCUGUCACUGCUGCAGGGGCUGUGAACGUUUUAAAUUGCUUCAGAAUGUCAGCAGCCAUUCGUCCGUGGGACUGUUUGUAUGCCCAGCUGCAGCUGAUGCGGGUGCGGGCGCUAGAGCCGGCCUGGCGGGGCAGCGGCACGGCACGG
ensembl:lncRNA